AUCCUUUCGUAGUUAAUAAGUGUGAUGAUUGGGUUGUCACGCUCUUGUGUGAGAUGUGCCUCCCUCAAACCUUGUUACAACAUCGACACAUUACCCAUUUGACA
ensembl:snoRNA